rnacentral:lncRNA from 1 species
GUUCGAUAAAUGUAAAACAAAUCUAAUAAACCUGCAUGAAUGAUUUCUUAACUAACCGCUAGAAAAAAAUGUGAUUACUUUUUUUACUUCUCAGUAAACCCAACAUUUGCAAUUUUAGAUUUGCAUUUUUUAUCGUAAGCUACCGUCAAAUUCACUGUUGACAUGUUGUAACCAAGGAGCCGCCAUGUUGACUUGCUGAAAUCAGUAAAUGUGCGAAUAUUGCAAUAGAACAGAAAACAAGCAACACCUACCUCAAUACUUUAUUUUAAUGCAAUUGUAUCCGAGUUUAGAAGGUAAACGCAAUAGAAAAACCUUCAGCUUUGACGUUUUCAUUCGUAUGACGUCAUGUUUUGAAAUGACGUUAAUGCGCAAAAAUCAUUACUGGAAUU